rnacentral:rRNA from 1 species
GACGAACGCUGGCGGCGUGCUUAACACAUGCAAGUCGAACGGAAAGGCCCUGCUUGCCGGGUGCUCGAGUGGCGAACGGGUGAGUAACACGUGGGUGAUCUGCCCCUUACUUUGGGCUAAGCCUGGUAUACUGGGUCUAAUACUGGAUAGGACCCUGCUGUAGGUGGUGUGGUGGACAUAUUAUUUUCGGUAAGGGGUGAGCUCGCGGCCUAUCAGCUUGUUGGUGUGGUAAUGGCCUACCAAGGCGUCGCCGGGUAGCCGGCCUGAGAGGGUGGACGGCCACAUUGGGACUGAGAUACGGCCCAGACGCAUAAGGGAGGCAGAAGUGGGGAAGAGUGGACAAGGGGCGCAAGGCUGAUGCAGCGACGACGAGGGGGGGAUGAUGGCCUUCGGGUUGUAAACGCCAUGCAGCCAUGACGAAGCCCGUGUGGUGACGGUAGUGGUAGAAGAAGCACCGGCUAACUACGUG